AACGAACGCUGGCGGCAGGCCUAACACAUGCAAGUCGAACGCUCUAGCAAUAGAGAGUGGCAGACGGGUGAGUAACGCGUGGGAAACUUCCUAGGGGUACGGAAUAGCUCAGGGAAACUUGGGGUAAUACCGUAUGAUGCCGUAAGGCCAAAGAUUUAUCGCCCUUAGAUGUGCCCGCGUCGGAUUAGCUAGUUGGUGAGGUAAUGGCUCACCAAGGCGACGAUCCGUAGCUGGUCUGAGAGAAUGACCAGCCACACUGGGAAUGAGACACGGCCCAGACUCCUUCGGGAGGCAGCAGUGGGGAAUCUUGGACAAUGGGCGCAAGCCUGAUCCAGCCAUGCCGCGUGAGUGACGAAGGCCUUAGGGUUGUAAAGCUCUUUUGCCGGGGACGAUAAUGACGGUACCCGGAGAAUAAGUCCCGGCUAACUUCGUGCCAGCCGCCGCAGUAA
rnacentral:rRNA from 1 species